GCUUUAAAAAGCAGCACCAGCUGCAGCAGCAGCAGCAGCUGCUGCUGCUGCUGUUGCUUUUUAAAUUU